rnacentral:rRNA from 1 species
UACAGAGGGGGCAAGCGUUGUUCGGAAUUACUGGGCGUAAAGGGCGCGUAGGCGGCCACUUAAGUCAGACGUGAAAUCCCUCAGCUUAACUGGGGGACUGCGUCUGAUACUGGGUGGCUUGAGUGCAGGAGAGGAAUGCGGAAUUCCAGGUGUAGCGGUGAAAUGCGUAGAUAUCUGGAGGAACACCGGUGGCGAAGGCGGCGUUCUGGACUGUAUCUGACACUGAGGAACGAAAGCCAGGGGAGCAAACGGG